GCCGACGUAGCUCAAUCGGCAGAGCAUCCGCCUUGUAAGCGGAAGGUUACGAGUUCAAUUCUCGUCGUCGGCUCCA
rnacentral:tRNA from 1 species